UCCUACGGGGGGCAGCAGUGGGGAAUAUUGGGCAAUGGGCGCAAGCCUGACCCAGCAACGCCGCGUGAAGGAAGAAGGCUUUCGGGUUGUAAACUUCUUUUCUUGGGGACGAAGAAAGUGACGGUACCCAAGGAAUAAGCCACGGCUAACUACGUGCCAGCAGCCGCGGUAAUACGUAGGGGGCAAGCGUUAUCCGGAUUUACUGGGUGUAAAGGGAGCGUAGACGGCUGUGCAAGUCUGAAGUGAAAUGCCGGGGCCCAACCCCGGAACUGCUUUG
rnacentral:rRNA from 1 species